GACGAACGCUGGCGGCGUGCUUAACACAUGCAAGUCGAGCGGAAAGGCCCUUCGGGGUACUCGAGCGGCGAACGGGUGAGUAACACGUGAGUAAUCUGCCCCAGGCUCUGGGAUAGCCACCGGAAACGGUGAUUAAUACCGGAUACGACAACUUCCUGUAUGGGAUGGUUGUGGAAAGUUUUUCGGCCUGGGAUGUGCUCGCGGCCUAUCAGCUUGUUGGUGAGGUAAUGGCUCACCAAGGCUUCGACGGGUAGCCGGCCUGAGAGGGUGACCGGCCACACUGGGACUGAGACACGGCCCAGACUCCUACGGGAGGCAGCAGUGGGGAAUAUUGGACAAUGGGCGGAAGCCUGAUCCAGCAACGCCGCGUGAGGGAUGACGGCCUUCGGGUUGUAAACCUCCUUCAGCACAGACGAAGCGCAAGUGACGGUAUGUGCAGAAGAAGGACCGGCCAACUACGUGCCAGCCGCCGCCGUAAGAC
rnacentral:rRNA from 1 species